GCAUAUCAAUAAGCGGAGGAAAAGAAACCAACAGGGAUUACCUCAGUAACGGCGAGUGAAGCGGUAAAAGCUCAAAUUUGAAAUCUGGCUCUUUUAGAGUCCGAAGUUGUAAUUUGUAGAAGAUGCUUCGGGUGUGGUUCCGGUCUAAGUUCCUUGGAACAGGACGUCAUAGAGGGUGAGAAUCCCGUAUGUGACUGGAUACCUAUGCUCAUGUGAAGCUCUUUCGACGAGUCGAGUUGUUUGGGAAUGCAGCUCAAAAUGGGUGGUAUAUUUCAUCUAAAGCUAAAUAUUGGCCAGAGACCGAUAGCGCACAAGUAGAGUGAUCGAAAGAUGAAAAGCACUUUGGAAAGAGAGUUAAACAGUACGUGAAAUUGUUGAAAGGGAAGCGCUUGCAAUCAGACUUGCACUUGGUGUUCAUCGGGGUUUCUACCCCGUGUACUUCAUCAAGUUCAGGCCAGCAUCAGUUUGGGUGGUUAGAUAAAGGCUUAGAGAAUGUGGCCCUCUUCGGGGGGUGUUAUAGCUCUAGGUGCAAUGUAGCCUACCUGGACUGAGGACCGCGCUUCGGCUAGGAUGCUGGCGUAAUGGUUGUAAGCGACCCGUCUUGAAACACGGACCAAGGAGUGUACCUAAUAUGCGAGUGUUUGGGUGUUAAACCCAUACGCGUAAUGAAAGUGAACGGAGGUGAGAGCCCUUAAGGGUGCAUCAUCGACCGAUCCUGAUGUCUUCGGAUGGAUUUGAGUAAGAGCAUAUUGGGUGCGACCCGAAAGAUGGUGAUCUAUACGUGAAUAGGGUGAAGCCAGAGGAAACUCUGGUGGAGGCUCGCAGCGGUUCUGACGUGCAAAUCGAUCGUCAAAUUUGCGUAUAGGGGCGAAAGACUAAUCGAACCAUCUAGUAGCUGGGUUCCUGCCGAA
rnacentral:rRNA from 1 species